rnacentral:rRNA from 2 species
GGUGAGUAACACGUGGGCAACCUGCCUGUAAGAUCGGGAUAACGCCGGGAAACCGGGGCUAAUACCGGAUAGUUUUUUCCUCCGCAUGGAGGAAAAAGGAAAGACGGCUUCGGCUGUCACUUACAGAUGGGCCCGCGGCGCAUUAGCUAGUUGGUGGGGUAACGGCUCACCAAGGCAACGAUGCGUAGCCGACCUGAGAGGGUGAUCGGCCACAUUGGGACUGAGACACGGCCCAAACUCCUACGGGAGGCAGCAGUAGGGAAUCUUCCGCAAUGGACGAAAGUCUGACGGAGCAACGCCGCGUGAGUGAAGAAGGCCUUCGGGUCGUAAAACUCUGUUGCCGGGGAAGAACAAGUGCCGUUCGAACAGGGCGGCGCCUUGACGGUACCCGGCCAGAAAGCCACGGCUAACUACGUGCCAGCAGCCGCGGUAAUACGUAGGUGGCAAGCGUUGUCCGGAAUUAUUGGGCGUAAAGCGCGCGCAGGCGGCUUCUUAAGUCUGAUGUGAAAUCUUGCGGCUCAACCGCAAGCGGUCAUUGGAAACUGGGAGGCUUGAGUGCAGAAGAGGAGAGUGGAAUUCCACGUGUAGCGGUGAAAUGCGUAGAGAUGUGGAGGAACACCAGUGGCGAAGGCGGCUCUCUGGUCUGUAACUGACGCUGANGCGCGAAAGCGUGGGGAGCAAACAGGAUUAGAUACCCUGGUAGUCCACGCC